rnacentral:lncRNA from 1 species
CUGCUUCCACACGAAUCGAGCACUCUGCCUCAUACAAACCCUAGUGAUGUCUGACUCCCACGAACCCUAGUGCUUGCUGCUUCCACACGAACCUAGGGCUCUCUGCCUCACACGAACCCUAGCCAUGCCUGCCUCACACGAACUCUGCCUCCAUACGAACCCUAGCGCUCUCUGCCUCACAAAACCCUACUCUCUCUGCCUCUACACGGAACCGAUUUGAAGGUAAUUUGAUGUUUAGGAUUUGUCAUGUGAUUCUAUUUGUGUAUUUCAUUAUGUGUUUCAUCUUUUUACUAGGUAGCUAAAGAGAAAUUGAAGAAAUUUAUCACAGAGGCGGCAGGGGAGAAAGAGUUUCCUGACUCGAGUUCUGAUUUUCGAGCAAUUAAAGCAAGUUAUCACAGAGGCAGGUGAGAGAAUUCUAAAACUCAUUUUUUGUUCCAAUCCUGCUGAAACUGCUUUUCUGUAUCCAAGGGUCUUUGUUGAGUGAGGAGAAUGGUCUGUUUUCUUACAUGGUUCAUAGGUGAAGCUUGCCCAUUCACGUAUGAGUAAAAGAAUGACACUGCAUCGUCUUGACAUUGUUGAAUCUGAUUUGUUGAGAAAGCCAUUUGGCGGUCUGCAACAACCAUUUGCCCUUUCCAGGUUUCAGCCUUGAGGACAAGGCUAACUCUAUUGGGCAGGGAAUUGAUAUCCCACUCAGGUCCAUAGUUGUAAACCUAAGAAUAAAAAGUAGGAUUGAUUGUUUAGUGGUUCUGUUUAGGUGUAUUUCUGUUUCAAUUAGUAGAGAAGGAGUAUUUGGAGAAUGGUCGAUUCUGUUAGAGGGGAGUGGGGUUGGUCUUUUUCCUUUGGAAAAAUGUUGAGAUCAUCCUGGGGGAUUCAUC